rnacentral:rRNA from 1 species
CACGGGGGAUCCGAGCGUUAUCCGGAAUGACUGGGCGUAAAGAGUUGCGUAGGUGGUUUGGUAAGUCACUUCUUAAAUACCGAGGCUCAACCUCGGGAGUGGAAGUGAUACUGUCAAACUAGAGUAUGAGAGAGGUGGCUGGAAUUCCCGGUGUAGGAGUGAAAUCCGUAGAUAUCGGGAGGAACACCAAUGGCGUAGGCAGGCCACUGGCUCAUUACUGACACUAAGGCACGAAAGCGUGGGGAGCGAA